CGUGAGAAUCCUUCCGGCCGAAUAUCUAAGGUUUCCAGAGUAAAGCUGAUCUGCUCUGGGUAAGUCGGGGCCUAAGGCCAGGUCGAAAGACGUAACCGAUGGACAACAGGUUGAAAUUCCUGUACCUUAAGUAAACAGAACUGUGGGGACACGUGUGGAGAGCACAAGCCGGUAAUGGAAAAGCCGGUGCAAGCGAGGUAGGAGUACAGUAGGCAAAUCCGCUGUACAAUCCGAAGACGUGAUGCGGACCGAAUUAAGAGUAGGGAAGCGUGUGAGCCAUGCGUCAAGAAAAGCCGCUAUUGUUUUACUUAAGCCCGUACCGUAAACCGACACAGGUGGAUGAGGAGAGAAUCCUAAGGCCGACGGGAGAAGCAUUGUUAAGGAACUCGGCAAAAUGACUCCGUAACUUCGGGAGAAGGAGUGCCAGCGAGAGCUGGCCGCAGAGAAUUGGCCCAAGCAACUGUUUAGCAAAAACACAGGUCUAUGCAAAACCGUAAGGUGAAGUAUAUGGGCUGACGCCUGCCCGGUGCUGGAAGGUUAAGAGGAGAGGUUAGCGGCAACGCGAAGCUUUGAAUUUAAGCCCCAGUAAACGGCGGCCGUAACAAUAACGGUCCUAAGGUAGCGAAAUUCCUUGUCGGGUAAGUUCCGACCCGCACGAAAGGCGUAAUGAUUUGGGCACUGUCUCAACAAUGCACCCGGUGAAAUUGAAAUACCAGUGAAGAUGCUGGUUACCUGCGCCAGGACGGAAAGACCCCAUGGAGCUUUACUCCAGCUUGAUACUGGGAUUCGGUAUUGCAUGUACAGGAUAGGUGGGAGGCUAGGAAGUGAUAACGCCAGUUGUCACGGAGCCGCUGUUGGGAUACCACCCUUGCAGUAUUGGAUUUCUAACCAGCGACCAUGAACUGGUCGGGGGACAAUGUCAGGUGGGGAGUUUGACUGGGGCGGUCGCCUCCGAAAGGGUAUCGGAGGCGCUCAAAGGUUCCCUCAGAAUGGACGGAAACCAUUCGAAGAGUGCAAAGGCAGAAGGGAGCUUGACUGCGACACCGACGGGUGGAGCAGGUACGAAAGUAGGACUUAGUGAUCCGGUGGUAUAAAGUGGGAUUGCCAUCGCUCAACGGAUAAAAGCUACCCUGGGAUAACAGGCUUAUCACUCCCAAGAGUUCACAUCGACGGAGUGGUUUGGCACCUCGAUGUCGGCUCAUCGCAUCCUGGGGCUGAAGUAGGUCCCAAGGGUUGGGCUGUUCGCCCAUUAAAGCGGUACGCGAGCUGGGUUCAGAACGUCGUGAGACAGUUCGGUCCCUAUCCGGCGUGGGCGUAGGAUAUUUGAGAGGAGCUGUCCUUAGUACGAGAGGACCGGGAUGGACUGGCCGCUGGUGUAUCUGUUGCAUACCAAAUGCAUGGCAGAGUAGCCAAGCCGGGACGGGAUAAACGCUGAAGGCAUCUAAGCGUGAAGCCCCCCUCAAGAUGAGAUAUCCCUACGUAAGUAGUAAGACCCCUUGAAGACGACGAGGUAGAUAGGUCAGAGGUGGAAGUACAGUAAUGUAUGGAGCUGACUGAUACUAAUCGGUCGAGGGCAUGACCG
rnacentral:rRNA from 1 species